AAAGCUAAAAUGGCAGUCAGACGAGAGACCUUCGGGUCUCUAGUGGCGAACGGGUGAGUAACACGUAGGGAACCUGCCCUCGCACCGGGAAUACGCUCUGGAAACGGAGAACAAAUCCCGAUGUACAGGAAGGAGGCAUCUUCUUUCUGUGAAACAUCCUUUAGGGGAUGGGGCGCGGAUGGACCUGCGGUGCAUUAGUUGGUUGGCGGGGUAAAGGCCCACCAAGACGAUGAUGCAUAGCCGGCCUGAGAGGGCGGACGGCCACAUUGGGACUGAGACACGGCCCAGACUCCUGCGGGAGGCAGCAGUAGGGAAUUUUCGUCAAUGGGCGCAAGCCUGAACGAGCGAUGCCGCGUGAGUGAAGAAGGCCUUCGGGUCGUAAAGCUCUGUUGCGGGGGAAAAAAGGCAGCAUCAGGAAAUGGGUGCUGACUGAUGGUGCCCCGCCAGAAAGUCACGGCUAACUACGUGCCAGCAGCCGCGGUAAUACGUAGGUGGCGAGCGUUAUCCGGAAUGAUUGGGCGUAAAGGGUGCGCAGGCGGUCCUGCAAGUCUGGAGUGAAACGCAUGAGCUCAACUCAUGCAUGGCUUUGGAAACUGGAGGACUGGAGAGCAGGAGAGGGCGGUGGAACUCCAUGUGUAGCGGUAAAAUGCGUAGAUAUAUGGAAGAACACCAGUGGCGAAGGCGGCCGCCUGGCCUGUUGCUGACGCUGAGGCACGAAAGCGUGGGGAGCAAAUAGGAUUAGAUACCCUAGUAGUCCACGCCGUAAACGAUGAGGACCAAGUGUUGGGGGUGAAACCUCA
rnacentral:rRNA from 1 species